rnacentral:rRNA from 1 species
AGUGAACGCUGGCGGCGUGCCUAAUACAUGCAAGUCGAACGGAGUGGGGCACGGGUGAGUAAUGUAUAGCUAAUCUGCCCUACACUAGAGGACAACAGUUGGAAACGGCUGCUAAUACUCUAUAGUGUAGGAUGAGGCUAUAUUGUAUCAGCUAGUUGGUGAGGUAAUGGCGCACCAAGGGUAUGACGCAUAACUGGUCUGAGGGGAUGAGCAGUAAACCUGGAACUGAGGCACGGUCCAGACACCUUCGAGAGGCAGCAGUAGGGAAUAUUGCUCAAUGGGGGAAACUCUGAAGCAGCAACGGCGCGUGGAGGACGACACUUUUCGGAGCGUAAACUCCUUUUGUUAGGGAAGCGGUACCUACCGAAUAAGCACCGGCUAACUCCGUGCCAGCCGCCGCGGUAAUAC